GGGAGGAAAAGAAACCAACUGGGAUUACCUUAGUAACGGCGAGUGAAGCGGUAAAAGCUCAAAUUUGAAAUCUGGUACUUUCAGUGCCCGAGUUGUAAUUUGUAGAAUUUGUCUUUGAUUAGGUCCUUGUCUAUGUUCCUUGGAACAGGACGUCAUAGAGGGUGAGAAUCCCGUUUGGCGAGGAUACCUUUUCUCUGUAAGACUUUUUCGAAGAGUCGAGUUGUUUGGGAAUGCAGCUCAAAGUGGGUGGUAAAUUCCAUCUAAAGCUAAAUAUUGGCGAGAGACCGAUAGCGAACAAGUACAGUGAUGGAAAGAUGAAAAGAACUUUGAAAAGAGAGUGAAAAAGUACGUGAAAUUGUUGAAAGGGAAGGGCAUUUGAUCAGACAUGGUGUUUUUUGCAUGCACUCGCCUCUCGUGGGCUUGGGCCUCUCAAAAAUUUCACUGGGCCAACAUCAAUUCUGGCAGCAGGAUAAAUCAUUAAGAAUGUAGCUACUUCGGUAGUGUUAUAGCUUUUUGGAAUACUGUUAGCCGGGAUUGAGGACUGCGCUUCGGCAAGGAUGUUGGCAUAAUGGUUAAAUGCCGCCCGUCUGA
rnacentral:rRNA from 1 species